ensembl:lncRNA
CAAAGGAAAACCUUUUAUUUUCAAAAAAUUAAAACAAAAAAUUAAGAUUAAGAUUGAGAAAUAAAUGAGGAUUGCUUUUUCAGAUGCUUAUGCAAGUAACAAGAAAAACCAAAAGCAUCUCUCACUUAAAUUCUUACAUUUGUAUAUCAGCUGCUUGCUUCACUAGGAACCCUCUAUUUUAUGCUGACCCUGAAGAUCUCACAGGUAAGGGAAUGUGAAAUAGCAUUUAACUUUUGAUCUUAACCGUCUCUCUGUUACACAUUUGUUUAUCUCUGUUUCUUCUUUUCUUUAUGUGAAGCCAUAUAUGCUGUCAGGAUAAAAUUAUUUCAUAUGUUCAAAGAAAACAAAAUUGCUCCUUCCGGUCAAAUAUUUCUCUGAAAUUUCUUCCAGGGACACUCCAAACCAGACAAAACCUUUUUGUUGACUUUUCAAAGCAUAGCUUGAAUAUGUUUGCAAGUGAUUUAUUUUUGAAUGCUGCUAUAAUUUUGUUUGGAAAUUAUUUAACUGGAGAAAAUCCUGUUACAGUUUUAAAAGGAAAGAAACAAAAGAAAUGCAAGUGAAAUCUGUUGUCAGAUAACCAGUUCUGGACUAAAUACUUAGUGAAAAGUCCUCAGCAGAUUUAGUUUGUAAAGCAUGGUUACUGGUGUUGAAGGAUGUGGCUGGGCAUCUGGAGUCAUCUGAAAAGGCUUCUGCAAUCUACCCUCAAAUUACAGCAACAUUUCUUAAUAUCCUGAGGAAGUAUUUUUUGACCCUUGUAUACUAUUAGGAACCUUUAGCUAUUUCAAACUGAAAUUGGCAAAAAGAAGCCAAGUAAACAGCAAGGCCAUGGUUGCUCUUUCAUAGUAGGAUAGUGGCCCACAUGUUUUAGGAUUACACAAAAUUUAUUUGGUAUAGAAUAAUAAAUCCAAAAGCUAUGUGAUCAGUUACAGAUUUCAGGUCAGGAGCUUUAGGAAUUAACUGUGAUGACUCCAUAAUUUAUUUUUCCAUCCCCCUCCAAUAUUUUCACUGUAUAUCCAUAGUUUACCUUAUUCAUCACUCCGACUAAUAUAGAAGGGCUUCCUCUGGGAACCAUCAUGUAAUUAUGUGACAGAAUGAGUACCCUGUCUGUUGUCAGAUUACAUCUUACUCAUAUCUGAAGCUGGCAGAUAAGCUUCUGAUUAUACUGAUGUGUCCUGCCUUAAACCACAAGCUUCUGUGUCACUCUGGCUGCUGGAGGCCAGACUAGUACACCUUGAUAGACUGACACUUGAGAUGACUGCUAUUUAAUGAGCACUUAUUAUAUGGCUUGUGGGCUUCCCUGGUGGCUCAGACGGUAAAGCGUCUGCCUGCAAUGAGGGAGCUGCUGCUGCUGCUAAGUCGCUUCAGUUGUGUCCGACUUUGUGCGACCCCAUAGAUGGCGGCCCACCAGGCUCCCCUGUCCCUGGGAUUCUCCAGGCAAGAACCCUGGAAUGGGUUGCCAUUUCCUUCUCCAAUGCGUGAAAGUGAAAGUGAAAAGUCGGACACGACUGAGCGACUUCACUUUCACUUUUAUUAUAUGUCAGGCUCUGUGUUAGAUGGUUUAAAACAUUUCUGAUUAACCUUGGACAUUUAGUAUUGUCUUUUUAGUAUAUAUGCAAGAAAACAAAAACUUGGAAGUGUUAAAAUAGUUUUCCAAGAAUGUGUAGCCAUCAAGUGGUAAUUCUGGAGUUUCAUCCCAAAUCCAUAUUUCUACUACACUUUACUGUGCACAGAGGUGAUUAACAGAAUGAAAGAAUCACUGGGUAUGGGGCAUAUGGAAAUGACCUUAUUUCUACCCUAAAUAUUAUGACAUUCAUUUCUGGUAAAUUAGUACAAGACAGUCAUUAAUUUUAUUAUUAUCAACUCUUCUAAUACUACUACUAUAUUUCUGGCUUGUGUGACUGACAGGACAACAUAUUUGUGGAAAAAUAGUUCAUUCUGUUUAAACAUGUUUGAAUAUACUGAACUCAUGGUACUUGUUGGAUAUCCAGUUUACCUUUUUCAAUUCAGUGGCCAGGAAAUUCUGCAAGUAAGCAAUAGCCCCAGGUGCAGUGAGGGGAUUGUGCCUUUGGACUGUACUCUCUGUGUAAACAGAAAUACUAUGAUGGCCUUUUUAUGUCCUUUGGGUAUCAGAAUGAAUCACUAUAAAGGGACAAACAAUCAUUUUUCAAAGUUGCCAGCUGGAAUCUCAACUGGAAAUUCUGCAGGAAGACAAUGCCUGUUAAUGCUUUCAGUUGUUUAUGAGUGCAAAAAAAAAAAAAAAAAUUGCUGGAUCAUUCAUUCUUAAAAGAUUAUUAUUGUAACUCUAUUUUUUAGUGGUGUGAAGGUACAUUUCCUAUUAGUUGUGAUUUAUAUUCUUAGGAAUAUUAACAAUUUUCCACACAACUGUGCAGUGAAAGGAUUGAAAGGUAGUUGACCCCACAUCCAUGGAAUAAUUUUUAUCUCUUGAGACUGCUUUCUUUCUUUCUUUUUUGAUUAUUUUACUCACCUGCUUCUAUACUGUUGUGCAAUGGACUGAUGUUUUCCCUACUGUGCCUGAUACUAUACAAGGCAAUUAUCUAGAUUACAGAGUGUGAUUCAUUAAAAAGUCAAUACAAACUUAUUAUGGUCUAUAAGUUAUCCAAAUUUUAAAAAAUAGAUAUCUGGUUUUUAAAUUUUAAGUAAAAUACAUCUGUAUAUCUCUGAUGUUUUAUAAUUUACUUUGAAAAUAUAUAUUUAAUAAUACUUCUUUGGAGGGUAAUAAAAUAUGAAUUACAGUUGUAUUUUUCUGAAUUGCCAAAAGGCAGAACAUAGAAUAUAUACAAUUCUAUAAAUUGUCCUUAAACACUGGAUUAAGCACAAGUGAACAGUUUAGUUUUUAUUAUAACUGUAUUAUAGCAGGUAUAGAGACUAAAUUUUUAAUGAGACUUUUUAAUAUCUCAUAUAUACAUAUUUUUUAAAAAAUGAGGCCUUCUCAACUCUAAUGGAAGACUAAUUUUAUCCUAUUUAAAGUAAAUUUUUAUUCUUUACACUCAAAAAAUUAACCUGUCCAAAUUAAAUAUUCUUUCCUGUUCUUUCACCAUAGCAAAUACAUAUCCAGUCAUCAACUUUUCAUAGUGACUCACAACAUGAUUUCCUUAGCAGGUUCAUUUGAAGGUCAUUGAUGUUUUGCUUUCCAAGUAUUACAAUCUCAACUGAGUUUUAUACAUUGUAACAGAAGCUUAAUGAGAGAUGAUGAAAAUCUUGCAUAAAACUUCAGGCAAUUUUAUCUGGCAGAAAAUAUAUGUCAUAUUAAAUACAGCGGUGUUAUGUUUUCUUUAUUUUAUUCUAUAUGCCAAUUGUGAAGCAUCACAUUUCAGGUGGUAUUAUUAAAACAUUGUCUUAAAAAUAGAAAACAGAGACAGUACACAUAGUAUGAAGUAUUCAAAAUGAAAUGAUUUGUGAAUUAUCUGAUUGGGUGACUCUCCCAGUUGCAAAGUUUCUGUGUGUUUUGUAGGACAUAACACUUCGUUAACAUCCUCCUGUGGUAAAUGAGCUCAAUCCUCCUGAAAUUUACCCUGAAGGGUUAAAAGCACUUGAGUCUUUACAUUUUCUGGGUCACAGAUGCCUUUAAGUUUCUGAAAGUACCAUUCUCAUACACAGACACCAUCUUAUGUUAUAAUGGCAAAGAUUCCUAGACCACUUGAAGCCUGUACACCAUCAUGAUGCCUAUGUACGUGCUUGAAUAAAGGAGAUGACAUCUCCUGGGAUACUUUAAGCUUUUGCUAAAGGCUUUGUAGUCUAAGCUACAAAAAGCAAAAAAGUCUCCAGAAAAAUAGAAGCAACUUGAAGGCACUUUAUGCUCCAUGGGAUUGAUCAUAUUUAGCCUUCCUCUUCAACUUUCAUUUCCUCAUGCCAGUCUUUUGGAAACAAAAAUAAUUGCUUGUUUACAGAAUGUGUGAUAGACUUUCUAGGUUACCAGAUGAUGGUGCACUUUUAGUUAUAUCAUGCUCCAUAAACCAGAAGAGUUCUAUUUUCAUCGUAGAAUGAAAAAGAAGAAAUGGGAAAGUAUGUGGUGGUUUAGUCACUCAGUCGUGUCCAUCUCUUGUGACCCCAUGGACUGUAGCCCUCCAGGCUCCUCUGCCCUUAGGGAUUUUCCAAGCAAGAAUAUUGGAGUGGGUUGCCAUUUCCUUCUCCAGGGGAUCUUCCUGACCCAGGGAUCGAACCCAGGUCUCCUACAAUGCAGGCAGAUUCUUUACCCACUGAGCCACCAGGGAAGCCCUGAAGUAUAUUGCCAUCAAAUAACAAAAUAAUUUUUGUUUCUAUUUUAUUUGUUAGAGUAUUAAAAUAUGGAAACAAAGUUAUAUUUUUAAAGUGUGAUUUAUGGUUGCCAAAUAUGUUAUAGGAUGC